CCUACGGGAGGCAGCAGUGAGGAAUAUUGGUCAAUGGGAGAGAUCCUGAACCAGCCAAGCCGCGUGAGGGAAGACGGCCCUAUGGGUUGUAAACCUCUUUUGUCGGAGAACAAAACCCGGGACGUGUCCCGGACUGCGUGUAUCCGAAGAAAAAGCAUCGGCUAACUCCGUGCCAGCCGCCGCGGUAAUACGGUGGAUGCGAGCGUUAUCCGGAUUUAGUGGGUUUAAAGGGUGCGUAGGCGGUCCGUUCAGUCUGCGGUAAAAGUGCGGGGCUAAACCCCGUCGAGCCGUUGAAACUGGCAGGCGUGAGUUGGCGAGAGGGACGCGGAAUGCGCGGUGUAGCGGUGAAAUGCAUAGAUAUCGCGCAGAACUCCGAUUGCGAAGGCAGCGUACCGGCGCCAGACUGACGCUGAGGCACGAAAGCGUGGGGAUCGAACAGGAUUAGAUACCCUUGUAGUC
rnacentral:rRNA from 1 species